UAAUUGAAGAGUUUGAUCAUGGCUCAGAUUGAACGCUGGCGGCAGGCCUAACACAUGCAAGUCGGGCGGUAACAGGGAG
rnacentral:rRNA from 1 species